rnacentral:tRNA from 5 species
GGAGAGGUGGCAGAGUGGCCGAUUGCACCGGUCUUGAAAACCGGCGUGCCGCAAGGUACCGGGGGUUCGAAUCCCCCCCUCUCCG